rnacentral:lncRNA from 1 species
GAAAAUUUUAGUAAAUUAUAGUCAAUUUUUAUGCAAUGAAACUAUAUAGCUCUUUUUGUUAGAAAUUGUCUUACUAACUAAGCUGCUGGUGGUUCUGUGACGAAGUAGCUCCUGUUGGCUUCCCUUACACCGGGUCAGACACAGGACAUUAAUUAAGGCUGUGUGUGGUGUUUCUGAAAGGUGAGGAGACUGGGCAUUCUGUCUUUUACUCUACAGAUACAUCGUGGGAGACUCAAAGAUUAAAAUGUGGCCACUCACUGUGGAUCAGAAGCAGAAUCUCACAUCAUAACCCCAAAUGACCUGUUACUCACCAUGUGGCCCAGCUGUCUUCAAACUCACCAGCCUCCUGCCUUAGCCUUCUAAAUGCUUGGAUUACAGGCAUGACCCACCAUAACUGGCUUUGUUUUAGUUUCAGAGAAGAUGAAACUGAUGUGCGUCAAAAAGCUGGUAGUCUGUCAAGGAAAUGAGCUGAACAUGUCUGUGUACAGCUUUUGUGCCAUCCCUGGAUGAGCGAGCUGUCUGCCUCUAUGUUCUCCACAAAAUGGAAUAUAGCUGUACACCCAAGCCAAGUUAUGGAGGCUGGGAAGACCUAGAAUGUGGCAUCACUAUUUGGAAACCAUGCCGAUUACCGACCGAGCUCUCAAUGGAAAAAUGCAGUCGGCGUGAACCACGCACGAACACAGCAGAGAAAGAAGAAAACACACACCACGAGGAACCCUAAUAGGACAAUACAUUAUAAGCCUCAUGGUACAUCCACUUGGUGUGCUGGGAGAGUCAGGAUGAGGACCUGAGAAGAACAGCAGCUUGAACCUGACUUCAUUUAACAGCCCACUGCCCUCUUGCCAAGAACCCAUCACAGACCUUCCCAGAAGAGAGGGAUGAGCCUCACCUAUGAAUAAGUCCUCAGAAACUCAAAUUUGAUUCUAAUGGAUUGUUUUCUCAGAAAGACUGAGCAUGUCCCCCCACAUCUCUGUCAUUUCCCACAGUAGUAACCUCUGCAGAUGCCACAUAGAAAACAAAACAAAACAAAAAAACAUGAGGUUGGUGGGCAGAUAGGCAGGGUAUAAACAAACAGCCUUGUAACCCAGAAGCUGUGUGAUAUACAGUAAACUUCACAACACUGAAAAGAUGUCCUAUCUGUUAAAAUGGGGUAAUAACAACUACCCGAAUGUUUAGGAAUAGAACUUCAAUAAAUGAUACAUUUUAUAGUACAGCAGACCAUCCUGUAAAGGUUUCAUCCUUCACUGUGGUGAUAAAUAUCCCAAACCACAUUGAAAAGCAUUGCAUCUACAUUUAUCUACACUGUAACUGUACUGUAAAUCAUGGGGGAGGGGAGAAUCAUAAAAACACCACCUGUCACCGUGUCAUUAAAGCAAGUUGGAAGUGAUACUUACAGAAACACAGCAAGAGCACCCCCAGUCACACAGUUCAAUCUCUUAGCAAGCGUUUUCUUUCUAGCCCAGUGGUUCUCAGUUUGGAAUUUUUGGCACUGCCUAGAGAUAGUUUUGUUGUUAAAACUGAGAAAAGAGCCGGGCGUGGUGGCACACGCCUUUAAUCCCAGCACUCAGGAGGCAGAGGCAGG